rnacentral:rRNA from 1 species
UACGAAGGGGGCUAGCGUUGCUCGGAAUCACUGGGCGUAAAGCGCACGUAGGCGGACUCUUAAGUCGGUGGUGAAAUCCUGGAGCUCAACUCCAGAACUGCCUUCGAUACUGAAAGGCUCGAGUCCGGGAGAGGUGAGUGGAACUGCGAGUGUAGAGGUGAAAUUCGUAGAUAUUCGCAAGAACACCAGUGGCGAAGGCGGCUCACUGGCCCGGUACUGACGCUGAGGUGCGAAAGCGUGGGGAGCAAACAGG